rnacentral:rRNA from 1 species
UACGGGGGGGGCAAGCGUUGUUCGGAAUUACUGGGCGUAAAGGGCUCGUAGGUGGCCAACUAAGUCGGACGUGAAAUCCCUCGGCUUAACCGGGGAACUGCGUCCGAUACUGGACGGCUUGAGUUUGGGAGAGGGACGCGGAAUUCCAGGUGUAGCGGUGAAAUGCGUAGAUAUCUGGAGGAACACCGGUGGCGAAGGCGGCGUCCUGGACCAACACUGACACUGAGGAGCGAAAGCCAGGGGAGCAAACGGG